rnacentral:tRNA from 1 species
GCAGACGUUUAGAGCUUCAUAAAGAAACAGACCUCCGAAGGCACAGGUCACAGGUUCGAAUCCUGUCGGGUGCGCCA